GACGAACGCUGGCGGCGUGCCUAAUACAUGCAAGUCGAACGCAGUGGGGACGGGUGAGUAACACGUGGGUAACCUCCCAUCAGAGGGGAUAACACUUGGAAACAGGUGCUAAACCGGUACUGAUGGAUGGACCCGCGGUGCAUUAGCUAGUUGGUGAGGUAACGGCUCCCCAAGGACACGAUGCAUAGCUGACCUGGAGGGGUGAUCGGCCACCCUGGGACUUGGACACGGCCCAAACGCCUACUGGAGGCAGCAGUAGGGAAUCUUCGGCAAUUGACGAAAUUCUGACCGACAAACGCCGCGUGAGUGAAGAAGGUUUUCGGAUCGUAAAACUCUGUUGUUAUAGAAGCGGUAUCUAACCAGAAAGCCACGGCUAACUACGUGCCAGCCACCGCGGUAAUAC
rnacentral:rRNA from 1 species